CAUGAUAGGCUUAACACAUGCAAGUCGAGGGGUAACAUGGGAGUAGCUUGCUACUUCUGAUGACGACCGGCGGAUGGGUGAGUAACGCGUAUGCAACUUGCCUCUUAGUGGGGAAUAACCCGGAGAAAUCCGGACUAAUACCGCAUACACUUAGUUAUCCGCAUGGAUGAUUAAGGAAAGAUUUAUUGCUAAGAGAUAGGCAUGCGUUCCAUUAGUUAGUUGGUGAGGUAACGGCUCACCAAGGCAUCGAUGGAUAGGGGAGCUGAGAGGCUUAUCCCCCACAUUGGGACUGAGACACGGCCCAAACUCCUACGGGAGGCAGCAGUGAGGAAUAUUGGUCAAUGGAGGAAACUCUGAACCAGCCAAGUCGCGUGAAGGAUGACUGUCCUAUGGAUUGUAAACUUCUUUAGUAGGCGAGUAAACGUAGGUACGAGUACCUACCUGCAAGUAGCCUAAGAAUAAGUAUCGGCUAACUCCGUGCCAGCAGCCGCGGUAAUACGGAGGAUACGAGCGUUAUCCGGAUUUAUUGGGUUUAAAGGGUGCGUAGGUGGCAGAUUAAGUCAGUGGUGAAAAGCUGUGGCUCAACCAUAGUCUUGCCGUUGAAACUGGUUUGCUUGAGUACAGUUGAUGUAGGCGGAAUGCGUAGUGUAGCGGUGAAAUGCAUAGAUAUUACGCAGAACUCCGAUUGCGAAGGCAGCUUACAAAGUGUANCUGACACUGAUGCACGAAAGCGUGGGUAUCAAACAGGAUUAGAUACCCUGGUAGUCCNCGCCGUAACUAU
rnacentral:rRNA from 1 species